rnacentral:tRNA from 1 species
ACUUAGCUCAAACGGUUAGAGCACCAGACUGCUAAUCUGGUUGUUGCGGGUUCGAAUCCCGCAGUAACACCA